GAUGAAGAACGUAGCGAAAUGCGAUAAGUAAUGUGAAUUGCAGAAUUCAGUGAAUCAUCGAAUCUUUGAACGCACAUUGCGCCCGCCAGUAUUCUGGCGGGCAUGCCUGUUCGAGCGUCAUUACAACCCUCAGGCCCCCGGGCCUGGCGUUGGGGAUCGGCGGAGCCCCCCGUGGGCACACGCCGUCCCCCAAAUACAGUGGCGGUCCCGCCGCAGCUUCCAUCGCGUAGUAGCUAACACCUCGCGACUGGAGAGCGGCGCGGCCACGCCGUAAAACACCCAACUCUUCUGAAGUUGACCUCGAAUCAGGUAGGAAUACCCGCUGAACUUAAGCAUAUCAAUAAGCGGAGGG
rnacentral:misc_RNA from 1 species